UGGGGAAUUGUUCACAAUGGGCGCAAGCCUGAUGACGCAACGCCGCGUGGGGGAUGAAGGUCUUCGGAUUGUAAACCCCUGUCGAAUGGGACGAAAGACCCGGGAGCUAAUCAUCCCGGGAGUGACGGUACCGUUAAAGGAAGCCACGGCUAACUCUGUGCCAGCAGCCGCGGUAAUACAGAGGUGGCAAGCGUUGUUCGGAAUUACUGGGCGUAAAGGGCGCGUAGGCGGCCAUCUAAGUCAGACGUGAAAUCCCCCGGCUUAACCUGGGAACUGCGGCUGAUACUGGACGGCUUGAGUUUGGGAGAGGGAUGCAGAAUUCCAGGUGUAGCGGUGAAAUGCGUAGAUAUCUGGGGGAAUACCGGUGGCGAAGGCGGCAUCCUGGACUAAUACUGACGCUGAGGCGCGAAAGCUAGGGGAGCAAACGGG
rnacentral:rRNA from 1 species